UUUUGUUGAAGUAAAUUGACAAGUAGAAUCAUACCAAUUGCCAAUGGAGGCUGAUUGAAAACAAGAAUGUCCACAACAGCUGGCCGGUUCUAUUGAUUGUGGAAUCUUCAUGUUGAUGUUAAUUUUUACACUUCUCUAAUGAAGAACCCACGAAUAACAGAAGACCCCUGUAUGCACUGCAGUCGGAUGGCUUUGCAACAACCAAAGGUCUUCAGAGGUUUAUUGGAAGAGCCGUGCUUAAUAAUGCUUUCUAAAAUUGAAAGAGGAAGACCAAGAAAAAGGCCUUCUUCAGCUUUCAGUGUCUAAAACAGAUGAUGACCAACAACUGGCCAAAGAGCCUUUAGCCAAAAUUAAGGAUGAUAGACUUUU